AUUGAACGCUGGCGGAAUGCUUUACACAUGCAAGUCGAACGGCAGCACGGACUUCGGUCUGGUGGCGAGUGGCGAACGGGUGAGUAAUGUAUCGGAACGUGCCCAGUCGUGGGGGAUAACGUAGUGAUAAUUACGCUAAUACCGCAUACGAUCUAUGGAUGAAAGCGGGGGAUCGCAAGACCCCGCGCGAUUGGAGCGGCGGAUAUCAGAUUAGGUAGUUGGUGGGGUAAAGGCCCACCAAGCCAACGACCUGUAGCUGGCCUGAGAGGACGACCGGCCACACGGGCGCUGAGACACGGUCCAGACUCCUACGGGAGGAAGCAGUGGGGAAUCUUGGACAUUGGGCGGAAGCCUGAGCCGGCCAUCCCGCGUGCAGGAUGAAGGCCCUCGGGUUGUAAACUGCUUUUGUACAGAACGAAAAGGUUUCUACUAAUACUAGGAGCUCAUGACGGUACUGUAAGAAUAAGCAGCGGCUAGCUACGUGCCAGCCGCUUCCGUAA
rnacentral:rRNA from 1 species